rnacentral:lncRNA from 1 species
GCAACAUUUAUUAGGGAAGAUAUUUCAUUUACAGAGGUGAGCAUUGGAAAUGAACAAAAAUAUAUAAGAGUAGAUAUAUGGAUAAGAGAGGUAGAAUAUGUAAUAAUACAUUUUUACAAUCCUUGCAGGAAACUAGAUAGGCAAACAUCCGUCAGGGUUAUGUGAUAACUGUCACAUGGAGGAAUCAGUAGAGCAUGUAGAUUUAAACUGUCGUAAAUACACACAAGAGCGCGAAGCAUUACAGAGGGGAAUCAGGAGACUUGGAUUUAAAGAGAUGACUUUAAAAAAUAUAUUUUCUAUUGGGAUAAAAAGUCUGUUCCCUUAUUUGAAGGAGACAGGACUUAUGCAAAGAAUUUAAUUUUUUGAAUUAUUUAUUCAUUCAAUAGACAUAUUUUUAUUUUUUUAAAUUUGGUUUUGGUUUUGUUCUGUUUGUUUUUGGUUUGGUUUUGGGUAGAAAACUCUGGCUCACACUCCAACACAGUAGGUGGCGGUAAUGCACCAUAACGCUGGUUGCCACCCGCCACAAAAAAAAAAAAGAAGAAGAAGAAGUAGAAGAAGUAGAAGAAGAAGAAGAAGAAGAAGGAAACGCUUGUUGUUGACGCGGAUUUUGACUCACAGCCUGUUUACAUACAGUCUGGCAGACGAGUUGCUGCACUGAACCAAAGAAGAAGAAAAAAGAGUUGCAGAACGACAUAGAAAGGGUAUACAACAACUUCCGGUCGCAGCAGACAGAGCAGUGGAGACGGCUACGGACACAAAGAGGUUGGAGACCACAGGAGGAGUGAACAUCGUGUGGCUCUUCCCCGCUGGCGUCAACUCCGGGAGGAGAAGAGGGCGACAGCUAGGUUGUCUGCCACGGACCAGAGCACUGAGACCAGGCGAUCCCCGUCCGCAGCGAGAGAAGCAGGUCAGCAGAGGACCAGGGCCACUUCCUAAAGAGUCGACAACAGCACAGCCUGACCCGUCUGCCGACAGACCUGCUUUGACACAAGAGCUAGGAAACCCUGUGCAGACAGUUCCUUCAUUGUUGUACAUAUGUUGUUUAUGCUAAUAUUCUAAUAUAUAUAUUGUAUGAUGUUCCAAAAAAAUAAACAGGUGUCAUGACACAUUGUGUUCUAAUUAUUUGUGCAGCUUGUAAAGAGGUAAAUGUAAUGGUUGGUUUGUUUAUGCUGAGAGUAUAAGGAAAAGGCCUUGAAAAUUUAAAAUAUUUUUAUUCCAGCAAUAUAGAGCAGGUUACGCAGAACAUAAAUAAACAUUGGUAUUGCACAAAAUACUGUGUGCAAAAUGUAAACCUCCAUAUGUGGCAGCCUGGACAGGGGAGUCAUGAAGUUGCCCACAGCACUUUCUUUCCACGUCUAAGGGCAGUUGUGGCAGGCACAAGUAGGUUGACCUGCAACGGGACGGCCCGGUGGAGGAGCAUCUGCUGCUGUGAGGUGUAGUACGUGAAGCAGCAGGCUCGUGUCCCGUCACUGCUCCAAGUUCAGUCCUCGAGUUCGGGCCUGUACAGUAACACAUGAUUAGAUUAGUUACAUGAUAAAUAAUUCCAUGUAUGAUUCGAUACAUUGAACAGAGUCUGGAGUAAACUC